rnacentral:SRP_RNA from 1 species
CCGGACCUCCGCGACGGUAAACCGUGAACCCCGCCAGGCCCGGAAGGGAGCAACGGCAGCGGUCUCGCCGGGUGCCGGAGCAAGCUGG